rnacentral:lncRNA from 1 species
CCUCACUAAAAUCAUCCCCGCCCAAAUUUUCCCAAUUUCUCAAAAACCCAAAUUCCCCCUAAUCCUUGAAACCUAAAUUGAGCAUUUUCCCUCGAACAUCCCUCUCUUUGUCUCGCUAUCAAUCCAACAGCAAUAAGCAUCCAUCAUUCGAGGUCUGUGUGACCUACAGCUUCUAGCAGUGGUGCUGCUCAAGCGUGGCAGAGAGUCUGAUUGUGAUAUGGAUUGGGGUAUAAAGGGGCUGACUUGGGGAAGUGGCACAUUUGGUCAACUUGUUCAUGGAGAUCUGGUUAAUAACUUAGAGCCAAAAUCAGUACAAGUUCUAUAUAACUUCAAUAUAACCCAUGUUUCAGCCGGAUGGAACUAGGGGUGCAAACGUGCCAAGCCGAGCCUAAGCUCUAUUAGAUUCAAGUUUUGUUUCUAAGAAGGUAUUUUGAUUUAGUAACAUGUCAAAACUUAAAAAAAAUUCUAAUUUUAUAAGGGUGAAAACUUUGAUUCAUUGUGUUGCUGCAUGAAAGAAUAGGUAAACAAGUCCAUGUUGACUCAAAGCCAAAACUUAUUUUACUAUGAGAAAUCAGUAUCGAAAAUCUAAACACCUCAGCACCAAGAAGCAUGACAUGAGAUCAAAACUCUAGCCAAAUCUUUAAGUUCUAUAGCAGCAAUAAAACCAAAUCAUCGAACAUGUCAGUUUUUAGGAGGACCCCAACAAUUUUAAUAAUUUGUAAUCUGCAUGAACUUGAUAAACAACAUCAACAAUUUGGACCCAUUUUUAAAACAUUGUUUUCUUCAUACCUGUGUUCACCCAAUUUGUACCCAUAGCAAACGUCUAAGUAUUUUUAUAUAUAAAUUUCUUUAUUUUUUCCGUAAUUUUAUAAUUAGUCAUUAUAAUUAUUUAAAUAUAUAUUUAAUAUUAAUUAAAAAAUUAUAUAAAAAUGGGUUCAUUUAGGAUC